rnacentral:tRNA from 1 species
GGGAUGCCGGAGCGGUUGAACGGGGCGGUCUCGAAAACCGUUGUGCUCGCAAGGGCACCGGGGGUUCGAAUCCCCCUCCCA